rnacentral:lncRNA from 1 species
CGCACAACCUCAUUGGGCUGUAUAACUUCAGUUACAAAUAGUACUGCAUUUCAGUGCCUUUUAGAGAGGUGAGAUCUCUCAGAAGUAUCUAUUGCUCUUUGCUGUUCCUCUCUGAUUUGAGACGGAAAAGCAGAAAGGAAAAAAGACAAGAGUUAUAGUCCUUCAGCAAGAGAUUCUUUGAUAUAACUGAAUGCUUUAGAAUCCUUUGAGUGAAGAUCUGGUUAAGUUUGCCUUGUUUAAUUUGACCUGUAUUUUAUUUCCUGAGACCUCUAUUUGUUGCAGUUGAUUGGACAGCAGAACAUUCUGUCUAGUGAAUAACUGGCUGAGGCUGGUCUGUGUUGUACAGAGAUAGCCAGUUUUGGUGAAUUUCAGUGUUCUCUGGAUUAAAGGAACCUGCUCUCCAAAUUAAGAAGUCACAUGUUCUGAAGUGAUUAUAAACUAAAAGAGCUUCUAAGUGCUCUGGCUAUUUGAGAAUGGAAGAGAAAAUAUUUUGCCCAGAUGGAGAGAUGAGAACCAGUAGACAUGCAGUUGGAAGGAGAGUAGUAUCCUGAGAUGCAUAUGUUCUUGACUGGACUCUUAAUAUUGAACUGAAAAAGAAAGAAAUUUGAAAGGAAGGAAAUAUAUACUUUGCCACCUUACUGAGAAGACACAGGACCUCAUCUGAUGCAUGUGGCUAACUCCAAGAUGACUGGAGACUGAAGAUGAGUGGAGGAUGGACUAACAUGGGUAGAGAUGAGAAAGGAGGUCAACCAGGUGUCUAUUACAACAGUUGGGACAGGAAGUGAUGGGGACUUGUACCAGGAUAACAGUUACUUGAAGGGAAAGAAAAAGACAUAUGCAAGAAUGAUCGAAAAGGUCCCCUGCCACAUGGAGGCUGAAGGAAAGAACACCCCAGUUUUUACCAGUUGGUUUGUGAAUCUGAAGACACAGAGGCAGCAACUAGCAGCCUGGCACCUGGGGCUGGGGCUGGAUGAGAGAUUGGGUCUGGCCAGGGCCAGACAUACCUUAUUCUUGGUGAUGCAAUUUGGGAAUUUCUUGGUGAAGAUGCUGGAGUUUGCCAUUUCCUUGCCCAGCUUAUAUUACAGAUGA